rnacentral:rRNA from 1 species
UGGGGAAUCUUGCACAAUGGGGGCAACCCUGAUGCAGCGACGCCGCGUGAGCGAUGAAGCCCUUCGGGGCGUAAAGAUCUUUCGACCGGAACGAUGAUGACGGUACCGGGAGAAGAAGCUGCGGCUAACUACGUGCCAGCAGCCGCGGUAAUACGUAGGCAGCAAGCGUUGUUCGGAGUUACUGGGCGUAAAGAGUGCGUAGGCGGUUUUCUAAGUUCGGUGUGAAAUCUCCCGGCUUAACUGGGAGGGUGCGCCGAAGACUGGGAAGCUGGAGUGUGGGAAAGGCAGGCGGAAUUCCUGGUGUAGCGGUGAAAUGCGUAGAUAUCAGGAGGAACACCGGCGGUGUAGACGGCUUGCUAGACCAUAACUGACGCUGAGGCACGAAAGCGUGGGUAGCAAACAG